UACAGAGGGUGCAAGCGUUAAUCGGAAUUACUGGGCGUAAAGCGCGCGUAGGUGGUUUGUUAAGUUGGAUGUGAAAUCCCCGGGCUCAACCUGGGAACUGCAUCCAAAACUGGCAAGCUAGAGUAUGAUAGAGGGUGGUGGAAUUUCCUGUGUAGCGGUGAAAUGCGUAGAUAUAGGAAGGAACACCAGUGGCGAAGGCGACCACCUGGACUGAUACUGACACUGAGGCACGAAAGCGUGGGGAGCAAACAGG
rnacentral:rRNA from 1 species